CCGAGCUCGCCACUCCUCGGAGUCCGGUGACUUCUCGGCCGGGAGAGACACAAUCGGAUGCGGAGAACUCAUUUGUUCAGUAGAUCUGGCUUCGUGCUGAGCAAUGUUGGAGCCCUGAAGAUUUGAAACUUCUAGUCUGAGGAAGGGGGACAGAGCUGGAUACUCCAAGUCCCCCCACGGUCAGAGCUGUGGCUGGAGGAACAAGACCCAGGAGGUUGACCGAAUGGCAGAUGAGGAGUCAGGACCUUACCCCCAGAGAAAGCAGUCCAUGGGCCGCAGACAGCAGAGAGGAGACAUUCGUCUGCCUUUUUCCUACAGAGUCAGGACUAUUUCCUUAUCCAGCGCCAACAACAGCCAGGGCUGUGACACGGGAAAGGACCCCACUGUGUAUCAGUCAGGACUCGCUGAACAGGCGGUGGUCCAGUCCCGCUGAGGAAUGUCACCCAGCCAGCGUCUGAACACCUAUAACAUAUAAGGGCACUAGGAGAAAGGUUAUAGCGUGAAGGGAGAUUUCAGGUUGAUGUUUGCAGCAAGAGAGAAUACGCUCACAAAAGCAAGAUCCGACCUCGUAUCUUUUAUAGGCAUUUGCACGUGUGCGUGUGUGUGCAUAUGAUCAGCUUUGCAUGGUGUCCCACAAAAUUCAGAGGAGGAAGUCCUAACCCCCAGGAUCUCAGAAUAUGACCUUAUUUGGGAACAGGGUGGUUGCAGAUGCAAUGAGUUGAGUCACACUGGAGUAGGCUGGGCCCCAGUAAGAGUAUGACUGGUGUCUUACGCAAAGCGGAAAUUUGGACCCAGACUCGUGCACAGGGAGAACGUCAUGUGAUGACAGAGGCAGAGGUGAGACGAUGAUUCUACAAGCCGAGGAAUGCCAACGAUUGCCAGGAAACCACCAGCAGCUGGGAGACAACACGGAACAACUUCUCUCCUACAGCUCUCGGUAGGAACCGAUCCUGAUCAAGUCCUGAUCUUGGAAUUCCAGCUCCCUGAACUGUGAGACAAUAAAUUUCGUUUGUAUUUUUAA